rnacentral:rRNA from 1 species
GACAGAGGGUGCAAACGUUGCUCGGAAUCACUGGGCGUAAAGGGCGUGUAGGCGGGACGUGUAAGUCGGGCGUGAAAUCCCUAGGCUCAACCUAGGAACUGCACUCGAAACUCCCUUCUUGAGUACCGGAGAGGAAAGUGGAAUUCCUGGUGUAGAGGUGAAAUUCGUAGAUAUCAGGAGGAACACCAGUGGCGAAGGCGGCUUUCUGGACGGUAACUGACGCUGAGACGCGAAAGCGUGGGGAGCAAACAGG